rnacentral:rRNA from 1 species
GAUGAACGCUGGCGGCGUGCCUAAUACAUGCAAGUCGAGCGAACGGACGAGAAGCUUGCUUCUCUGAUGUUAGCGGCGGACGGGUGAGUAACACGUGGAUAACCUACCUAUAAGACUGGGAUAACUUCGGGAAACCGUAGCUAAUACCGGAUAAUAUUUUGAACCGCAUGGUUCAAAAGUGAAAGACGGUCUUGCUGUCACUUAUAGAUGGAUCCGCGCUGCAUUAGCUAGUUGGUAAGGUAACGGCUUACCAAGGCAACGAUGCAUAGCCGACCUGAGAGGGUGAUCGGCCACACUGGAACUGAGACACGGCCCAGACUCCUACGGGAGGCAGCAGUAGGGAAUCUCCCGCAAUGGGCGAAAGCCUGACGGAGCAACGCCGCGUGAGUGAUGAAGGUCUUCGGAUCGUAAAACUCUGUUAUUAGGGAAGAACAUAUGUGUAAGUAACUGUGCACAUCUUGACGGUACCUGAUCAGAAAGCCACGGCUAACUACGUG